UAUCAGCUCCACGGAAGAAAGGUCGCCUCCUUCUUCUCCUGCGACCUUGACGUAGAGCUGAUCGUAAAUCUCCCCUUCUCUUCCAUCCAUGGAAAGGAACGGGAAGGUCUUGCGCUCGACGCUGUUUCUGGAUCAGGUCGGCGAGGUUGUCGUCACCCUUGAUCCCUACGGCUUGUCCUGGAAACUCCUCCACCGGGGUUCAGUUGUAUCUUCGUGCUUGUGCAUGAAACGUCAUUCAAAGAUUGAAACCGAGAUCAAAUUUUCAAAUGUCUAUGCUGUAGAGUUAAUUGAUCGAGGCUUGAUUCAUGACCCUGCCUGGAAUUCUGGCGGGUUUCUUUUGGGCAGAAGCUCCGAGAUGUACCGGUUUGUGGUGCAUGGAUUCCAUAAACCCAAAACAUGCCGUUCUCCUUGGGUUCUUUCUGAGUACACUUUCGGGCACGAGGAUUUGCAGAAAUGCCAAAUGUGGGUGGAAGAUAUAAAUGCUUAUAUAAAAGAUGGAGCGGGAAGGCCAAAGAGUCUUUUGGUCUUUGUACAUCCACUAUGUGGGAAAGGAAAAGGAAACAAAACUUGGGAAAUGGUUGCUCCUAUAUUUUCCCGUGCUAAAGUACAAACAAAGGUGACAGUGACUAAGAGGGCAGGGCAUGCAUUUGAUAUAAUAUCAUCUUUAUCAGACAGAGAACUUAGUUCUUUUGAUGGCAUUGUUGCUGUGGGGGGUGAUGGUCUCUUUAAUGAAGUUCUGAAUGGCAUUCUUUCCUCAAGGCACAAGGCUCCUUAUCCACCAGCUCCAACAGAGUUUAGUUAUUCUGUAAAUGAUGAAAAGGACCAAAUUUUUGGAAAUAAUAGCAAUAAUAAUGGUAGAGCCUAUUAUAACGACAAAAAUGGCUCGUCUACUGAGACUUCUUCUAAAAGUGAUGAUCAUGAACCUCUUCUCUUAACUUCAGAAUCUAAUGGACUGGGCAUCUCAAAAUUCACAAAUAAAUGUGGACCGUGUAACACAGAUCAAAAUCCUGUAAUUUCCUUCCCAAAUGAUUGGUUUAGACUUGGAAUAAUUCCAGCCGGCUCAACUGAUGCUAUUGUGAUCAGUACUACUGGCAUGCGAGAUCCUGUAACAUCUGCUUUGCACAUUAUCCUUGGCAAGAGGAUAUCACUUGAUAUAGCUCAGGUGGUCAGAUGGAAAACUAGCCCUUCAUCCAUGGAUUUGCCUUACGUACGCUAUGCAGCUUCUUUUGCAGGGUAUGGAUUUUAUGGAGAUGUCAUUAAGGAGAGUGAAAAAUAUCGUUGGAUGGGCCCUGUACGUUAUGAUAUUGCUGGGACAAAGGUGUUUCUGGAACACAGAUCAUAUGAGGCGGAAAUAGCUUUUCUGGAAACUGGAAAAUUUGACCCACUGACUGGCAUAACACAUACUGGAGGAAAUAAAACACAAUCAUCACAACUUUCUCGACAAAAUUCUAACAGAGUGAUUUGCCGUAUGAACUGCGCUGUCUGUAAUGAGCCUAAAAAUUCUGCUCAGUUUCCUUCAAAUAGAGCCAUCACUAGCCCCAAUAUUCAUUCUGAGAAUUCAAGAUGGCUGCAAUCUAAGGGACGCUUCCUUAGUGUUGGGGCGGCAAUUAUUUCAUGUCGUAAUGAAAGAGCUCCUGAUGGUUUGGUGGCUGAUGCACACCUUGCUGAUGGCUUUCUUCAUCUUAUACUUGUCAAAGAUUGUCCUCGUCCAUACUACUUAUGGCAUCUUACUCGGCUUACAAGGAGCGGGUCGGACCCUCUAAAUUUUGAUUUUGUGGAACAUCAUAAAACACCUGCAUUUACCUUUGUUUCAUCACAUGAUGAAAGUGUCUGGAACUUGGACGGCGAGAUCCUUCAAGCAUGCCAAGUCUCUGUACAAGUAUGCCGAGGUCUCAUCAACUUAUUUGCAUCAGGACCUGAAGUUUAACAAUAUUCUCCAAGCUGAUCCAUGUGUUCCUGAAAAAGGAAGAAUCAUAUGAGCUGAAUUGAAUAUCUUAGAUUACUUUGCAGUUUUCCAUGUGAUGUAUUACAAGGCCCGUGGAUAUGCCACAUUGUCAUUAGAGAGUGAUGGAUGAUCCCUGCAUUGCUUCUGAUGGGUAUACAUACAACUGAAAUGCGUUUGAGACCUGGCUCAGGAGAAAUGACAAGUCUCGAAUGUCAAAUUUACCAUUGCCCAAUAAAGAUUUGAUGCCUAACCAGUCUCUUCUUUCUGCAAUCAAGGACUGGAAGUCCCCAGAACUGAAUGACCUGCAAAGCUGUCCCAGAAGGUCAUUGUUAUAGUUCACCUAAUCAGGAGAACCUCACCUGCAUGCAAUAAUGGUAGAGAUCCCACAAGCCUGUUUUGGCAUCAUUGGAAGGGCAUUGACCAUGUUCAUUGGGACUUUGAAAUGCUAGUUGUUUCAGGAUAGUGUAUAUGCAACAUUUACAGUGAAACAAGUUUAAAAUAGUAGAACAGAAUAGAAAGGUUCAAAGUAGAGCAAUAUCUGACAUGCCAAACAAAUUUUUGUUUCUGUGAAACAGCUCUUUUUUCAGAAGGCAAGGUGUCUUUCGGGCAGUUUCAUUCA